UGAACGCUGGCGGUAGGCCUAACACAUGCACGUCGAACGGCAGCACAGUAAGAGCUUGCUCUUACGGGUGGCGAGUGGCGGACGGGUGAGGAAUACAUCGGAAUCUACUUUUUCGUGGGGGAUAACGUAGGGAAACUUACGCUAAUACCGCAUACGACCUACGGGUGAAAGCAGGGGAUCUUCGGACCUUGCGCGAUUGAAUGAGCCGAUGUCGGAUUAGCUAGUUGGCGGGGUAAAGGCCCACCAAGGCGACGAUCCGUAGCUGGUCUGAGAGGAUGAUCAGCCACACUGGAACUGAGACACGGUCCAGACUCCUACGGGAGGCAGCAGUGGGGAAUAUUGGACAAAGGGCGCAAGCCUGAUCCAGCCAUACCGCGUGGGUGAAGAAGGCCUUCGGGUUGUAAAGCCCUUUUGUUGGGAAAGAAAAGCAGCAGGUUAAUACCCCGCUGUUCUGACGGUACCCAAAGAAUAAGCACCGGCUAACUUCGUG
rnacentral:rRNA from 1 species